rnacentral:rRNA from 1 species
AUUGAACGCUGGCGGCAGGCCUUACACAUGCAAGUCGAGCGGAGCGGCGGACGGGUGAGUAAUGCCUCGGCACCUGCCUGGUAGCGGGGGAUAACGUCCGGAAACGGUCGCUAAUACCGCAUCCUAUCAGAGCAGCCUAGGUCGGGUUAGCUAGUUGGUGGGGUAAAGGCCUACCAAGGCGACGAUCCGUAACUGGUCUGAGAGGAUGGUCAGACACACUGGAACUGAGACACGGCCCAGACGCCUACGUGAGGCAGCAGUGGGGAAUAGUGGACAAUGGGGGAAAGCCUGGUCCAGCCAUCCCACGUGUGUGAAGAAGGUCUUCGGAUUGGAAGGCACUUUAAGGAGGGAGGCGUUACCAACAGAAUAAGCACCGGCUAACUUCGUGCCAGCAGCCGCGGUAAUAC